UUCUUAUAAAUUUUAUAAUAAGUACAACCUGCCCAGUGAACUUUAAACGGUUAUAUAAUAGUAUUAAAGUAGCGUAAUAAAUUGUCAUUUAAUUGAUGAAUAUAAUGAAGGUUUUAUGAAUUAAAUUCUGUCUUUAAGAAAUAAAAUAAAAUUAAUAAUAUAGUGAAAAAUCAUAUUUUUUUUUAAAAGACGAUAAGACCCUAUAGAACUUAUUUAAAAUUUUAAAUUUACUGGGGAAGUAAAAAUAUAAAAAAAACUAUUUUUAAAAAAAAAAAUUACAAAUUUUUAUUAUAACCAUUCAAAAAAUAAUAAUGAUUAAAAAGUUACCUUAGGGAUAACAGCAUUAAAAAUAUAAAAAGUCCUUAUUUUAAUAUUUUUUAAUGACCUCGAUGUUGAAUUAAGAUAAAUUUAAAAAGCAAAAUUUUUAUUUAAUUAAGUCUGUUCGACUUUUAAAAUCUU
rnacentral:rRNA from 1 species